AUGUGCCACUGUGUGUAUGUCUUCGGAGGAGGAACCCAGCUAACCGUCCUUGGUCAGCCAAAGGCAUCUCCUACCGUGCACCUCUUCCCUCCAUCCUCGGAAGAGAUAAAAACAAAGAGCAAAGCCACACUGGUGUGUCUGCUGGGCAGCUUUUACCCAGGGUCAGUCCAAGUCACCUGGAAAGCUGAUGGCCAGCAAAUCUCCACUGGAGUGGAGACGACCAAACCCUCCAAACAGAGUGACAACAAGUACAUGGCCAGCAGUUAUCUGUCUCUGGAUGCAUCAAAGUGGAAGACCCAUGAGACCUACACCUGCCAGGUGACACACGAUGGGAAGAGCUUCGAGAAGUCUCUGAAGAGCUCAGAGUGUUCUUAACAGGGGGCUCAGCUGGUUCCUGUGUCAGUCACUAGAGAGUUUCCCAGGGGAGCCAGGAACCAUAAUGCUGAUUUCCAGCAAAACUGCUUCCUGUUUUAUGUGAUCCCUUUGAUACCCACUGUUAUUCCCAUGUUCCCACUGCUCUCGCCCCUCUGCAUUCCCUGGAAAUGUCCUUCCUGCUUCAGCCUCUGAUGCAGCCUUGUUACGCUAUUAAUAAAACCAGAAACAUUCAGCUAUCGUGGUGUCUGUGCAGAGUUAAACCUCUUCUGUCCUCUUCACACUUACUGACUGUAUUUGAACUACUUACAUUAUCUUCCAAUAAAACAUGUACCUUUAUCAUCCAAA